CAUGAUCAUAAAGCCAUGAGGUUGCUUCUGGAAGGCUGAAAUUGCGCCAAAAAAAUUGUGAGAUGUUUGUGCUGUUCAGAAGCUGGCUUGUUUGGAAUAUCUGUCCAGCUCAAGAAUGGCUCCAGGGGUUAUAAACAGGUGUUGGAUGGCAGAAUGGUUUUAUGGACACUUCAAGCAUAUGACAGCUUAAUUUUCUUCAACAAGGCUGUGAGACCAGUUUGCAGGUGAUGCUAAAGUUAUCAGAUCUACAGCACCAGGUGACAUACAGCCAACACUUAGUGUCUAGCUUAUUGUCAAAAGAAAUGUCUGUGCCUCCUUUGUUAAACCAGCAUAUGUGACAGUGUAUGGAGAGAUGCUCACUUCACCUCUUGUUUACGCAGAAGAAAGGCUUCCACGCUGUCACUAUGAUGACGGUUUACAGAUUACAGAGAACCUAAUCGAACGCCUUUCUGCAACUAUUGAAUAAUUGGAACACAACUUGUGACUUCAGCCCAGUGACAUUAAGCUAGGUUCUGUCAUAGCUGUCUCUUUAAAGAUGAACAAUUAAACUUAUAUACACACACGGUGCGCACAGGGAAAAAAGCUGAUUAUGGCAGAAGUGCAGCAUUUUUCUUCGACUACCUUGAACGAUAAACAUGGAUGUAAUUUGGAUUUAUGACCUCUGGCUGCUAUUUUAAGUGUUGUGUUGCUGUGUGUCAAUAAAGCUUUGACUUCUCUUA